rnacentral:rRNA from 1 species
AUGAACGCUAGCUACAGGCUUAACACAUGCAAGUCGAGGGGCAUCAGGAAGAAAGCUUGCUUUCUUUGCUGGCGACCGGCGCACGGGUGAGUAACACGUAUCCAACCUGCCCUUUACUCGGGGAUAGCCUUUCGAAAGAAAGAUUAAUACCCGAUAGUAUAAUGAUUCCGCAUGGUUUCAUUAUUAAAGGAUUCCGGUAAAGGAUGGGGAUGCGUUCCAUUAGGUUGUUGGUGAGGUAACGGCCCACCAAGCCUUCGAUGGAUAGGGGUUCUGAGAGGAAGGUCCCCCACAUUGGAACUGAGACACGGUCCAAACUCCUACGGGAGGCAGCAGUGAGGAAUAUUGGUCAAUGGGCGCUAGCCUGAACCAGCCAAGUAGCGUGAAGGAUGAAGGCUCUAUGGGUCGUAAACUUCUUUUAUAUAAGAAUAAAGUGCAGUAUGUAUACUGUUUUGUAUGUAUUAUAUGAAUAAGGAUCGGCUAACUCCGUGCCAGCAGCCGCGGUAAUACGGAGGAUCCGAGCGUUAUCCGGAUUUAUUGGGUUUAAAGGGAGCGUAGGUGGACUGGUAAGUCAGUUGUGAAAGUUUGCGGCUCAACCGUAAAAUUGCAGUUGAUACUGUCAGUCUUGAGUACAGUAGAGGUGGGCGGAAUUCGUGGUGUAGCGGUGAAAUGCUUAGAUAUCACGAAGAACUCCGAUUGCGAAGGCAGCUCACUGGACUGCAACUGACACUGAUGCUCGAAAGUGUGGGUAUCAAACAGGAUUAGAUACCCUGGUAGUCCACACAGUAAACGAUGAAUACUCGCUGUUUGCGAUAUACAGUAAGCGGCCAAGCGAAAGCAUUAAGUAUUCCACCUGGGGAGUACGCCGGCAACGGUGAAACUCAAAGGAAUUGACGGGGGCCCGCACAAGCGGAGGAACAUGUGGUUUAAUUCGAUGAUACGCGAGGAACCUUACCCGGGCUUAAAUUGCAGUGGAAUGAUGUGGAAACAUGUCAGUGAGCAAUCACCGCUGUGAAGGUGCUGCAUGGUUGUCGUCAGCUCGUGCCGUGAGGUGUCGGCUUAAGUGCCAUAACGAGCGCAACCCUUGUUGUCAGUUACUAACAGGUUAUGCUGAGGACUCUAGAGAGACUGCCGUCGUAAGAUGUGAGGAAGGUGGGGAUGACGUCAAAUCAGCACGGCCCUUACGUCCGGGGCUACACACGUGUUACAAUGGGGGGUACAGAAGGCAGCUAGCGGGUGACCGUAUGCUAAUCCCAAAAUCCUCUCUCAGUUCGGAUCGAAGUCUGCAACCCGACUUCGUGAAGCUGGAUUCGCUAGUAAUCGCGCAUCAGCCACGGCGCGGUGAAUACGUUCCCGGGCCUUGUACACACCGCCCGUCAAGCCAUGGGAGCCGGGGGUACCUGAAGUACGUAACCGCAAGGAUCGUCCUAGGGUAAAACUGGU